rnacentral:rRNA from 1 species
UGUGAGUCAUCUAAUCUUUGUAACGCGAAUGGCACUGUUACGUAAGUAGCAGUAUGUCUGUUUGAGAAUCGCAAACACGAUCAACUCUAGUUAGAGUUGGCAUUGACCUCAUGCGCUUUUAUAGUUGCAUCUGGUUUGAAUGGAUCAAGUUGAUGGGCUUCCCAGCGAUGCUCGAUGUGUGCUAGCGAGACAGUCGUCCCGAUCUCACAUUAUUGUAUCGUUGCAGAGCUCUAAUCACAGCUUGCUAAUUAUCAUAUAUCUAUUACGAUCUCAAAUCAGGCAAGAUUACCCGCUGAACUUAA